UUUAAUUUGACAUGUAGGGCAAUUAUUAUGAUUACUUUAUUAUGAUUCUUUCUUAUUGUAUUUUGGUUUAUUUGUAUUUUUCGUUAUUAUGGUCUUGACACUGUUGAUUUGAGAUUUGAGCCAAUAGGAAGGCAAAGGGGAACGGAAGUCCCGCCUCCAUGUAAUAUUUCUUUCGGCAGAUGCCUACUUUUUUUCUUUUUCAAUUGAGCCACGUAGCAGAACUGUCUGUUGUAUCUCUUAUAUAUCAAACUGAAUCUUUGCAUUGAAGCUUCCAGUGUAUACUGCUGCAUAAUCUUUUUAUUUUGUGUAGCAAGAACAGAUUUUGUGAACAGGCCAGGUUUUUUGUGUGGAUGAACAGUCUACUGCAGAGGAUAGAUACCAGACAGAGGAGACACCAGCAGAGCUCCUGGAACCCCUUUUCCUUGAAAUACUUGAUCAAGAUUUCCCCAAAUCAGGGAAUGUGGGAGGAAACCGGAGAAUUGGAGGAACCCUAUUCAAACACAGGAGAACAUGUCAGUAUGAAACCAGGGCCCCUGGAGCAGAAUGUCGCCCUCAUAGAGAAACCUGUCAGAGAAAAGUAAACAGCUAAACACUCUGCUUGAGAUACAACGAGGGCUGUGCGCCUGUGAGAGCAACCACAAGCAGAAGUCACAUUAUGUGGAAUGGGUGACAGCAGAAUUAGCCUGCAUGAUGAGCAUGUUUCAUAAAAUUGUCACCUUCCUGAUAACGGCAGCCCAACAGAAAUAGUCCCCAUUCUCCUGAUUACCCACUCAUGCAUUGCCUUAUUCACUGGAUGAUUCAAUAUACUAUACAUGACACAAAACAUUUGAGUGGUUGAUGGUGUAGUUGGAAGGACCUUAUCAUAUCCUAAAUAUAUCCAGCUAUUCUGGGGCUUGAAUGUAGGUAAUCCUGUGCAUUAAUUAAUACAUCACUGGGAGCAAUCAUUAUUCGAGUUAUAAGGGAGAAAACAGAUCUAAUCCUGUUUAUUAUAAACCCAGGCAUGAGAUAAAAUAUUAGAUAUUUUAUGCUUGAAUAUCCUGUGUCGGUCACUGUAUCAUGCCGUUGCAGGCUAGUCCUAUUAUGAUGAAGAAAAUAUUGUAUAGUUUACCUUGCUGCUAUUCACCAAAAUAUUCAAUAUCCAUUUGGUCAAAACAAUGUAUUUGCUACAGUAUUGCAGUGCUACUGUACAGCAUUUGUCUAUUACAUAACAGUGUAACUUUGACACCUAUACCUUUAGUAAAUACUAAUAACAAAUAUCUAGUUUAGUCUCAUAUUAAUAAUUUAUUACUAUGAAUAUUAUAUUAUAUGAAAUUAUGUUUUGUUAAGAGGCAUGGUGUCUUAGUGGUUCGCACGUUUGCCUCGUACCUCCAAGGUUGGCGGUUCGAUUCCUGCGGAUGUUAUCCCUGUGCUUCGGGGGUUUCCUCCAGGUACUCCAGUUUCCUUCUGCAGUCUACUGUAUGUGUUGUAGGUCGAUUGGCAUUGCCAAAUUGUCCGUAGUAUGUGAAUGUGUGAGAUUGUGCCCUAUGAUGGGUUGACACCCUGUCCAGUGUGUCCCCUGCCUUGUGCCCUGAGUCCCCUGGGAUAGGGGCCAGGAUCCCUGCGACCCUGUGUAGGAUAAGCAGUAUGGAAAGUGAAUGGAUGGAUGGAUAUUUUGUUAAACAUCGUUAACAGAUAUUUUGUCAAAACUUCAAAAAGGCAAUGUUCUGUGUCUUAAUAAAGUUUCCACUCCAUUAAUUAUAGAAACAGAAGCAAUUCCAGGGCAUUAUUCUUGACUGAUUUAUCUUUCAUCAUCCAACAGACAUGCACAGAUUAAUCUUUCUACUUCUCUGCUCGCUAACUCUCGCUGUAGAUUUAUACUGACUUGCUGCAUUACCAUACUCUCUCCCUUUUUAAUUGCAUCUUUCUCAAUUUAAUAGAUGCAGAACAUUGUUGUUAUCUAAUGGAUGAUAAGAGUUAUCUUUCUCUUACUCACCCUGCACAAUCCCUCUCCUGCCUGUCUGUCAAUAUAUCCAGAGCAACAAUGCCAUUCAUCUGUCUUGUAAUGUAUUCAGUAAUUAAAUUUCCAUCAGUUUCUUUGUGCCACUUGAUAAUAUGCACUCAUCUGUGGAGAGAAGGGUCUGAAAGACAGUUCAAGUGUCAGUUUGUCCUUCUCCAUCUCUGUUGCUCUGUUUCAUUUGAAACACUUAGAAAGGGAAUGAUAUGAGUGGGCACAUGCCCAUGAAUCCACUCUAUAAUAUACUUUUCAAUAUAUUUCACUGUAUUUGUCAUGUAAAGGAGGCACCGACAGAAGCAAGUGCAGGUUAUGAAGUUUAAUCCAAAAACACCAAGUCCAAAGGGUAACUCCAAAUCUCACAACUUUAAACAGGCAAGGGUCAUACUAUCAGGCAAACAGGUAUAAACUAGGCUAGGCAGAGAAUCGAAGUCAUCAGAGUAAACAAAGUCCAAAAGCAGAAUAUCGACACUUAGAAAGACUUGGUUAUGACAGAGACAAUAGCAACUGAGUGUAUACUUCACAAAGGCAUUGUGUUCAAACAGUCUCUUUUAUGUGAGGUGUGACUGCGAGCGUAAAUGGGAACAUGUGUCCCAUUAUGUAAUAUGAAACUAUUUAUAUAUGAAUGUUUAAUAAAUGUAUUAUAUGAAUGUAACUAAAUGGUAAAUGGCGCACUUAUAUAGCGCUUUUAUCCAAAGCGCUUUACACUGUGUCUCAUUCACCCAUUCACACACACACACUCACUCACACACAAACACGUCAAUGGAUGCAGAGCAGCAAUGCAAGGCGCUCACUUGCCAUUGGGAGCAACUUGGGGUUCAGUGUUUUGCCCAAAGACACUUCGGCAUGUGGAACCACAGCUGAACCACAGCUGCCCCCUGUGUGCUACCUAUACAGAAUAUAAAUGAUUAUUUACAUAAUUGUGACAAGGAGGAGGGAGAAGCCAGGUUGUGAGGAUGCACACCUGGCACUG